ensembl:rRNA LOC120100328 5S ribosomal RNA
GUCCACGGCCAUACCACCCUGAACGUACCCCAUCUCAUCUGAUCUCUGAAGCUAAGCAGGGUGAGGCCUGGUUAGUAUUUAGAUGGGAGACUACCUGGGAAUACCGGGUGCUGUAGACU